GGGGUAUAUGACAUGACCCGUCCCGAUUUAACCUAAUUGACUCGACACGUGUCGUGCGCCGAUGGUAGAUGCCAGCUAAAUGUCGGACCCACCACCAAGGCAAACGUGACCUACUUGACCAUGAUAUAAUUCUAUAAAAAUUUUGACAGAGUUCCCCCUGUAACAUUGACAAAACCAACCUGAAAAAUCAUCAAAAUCUCAAAUAGACAUUUAAACCAAAAGUUUUGAAAACCACCACUUCCUCUAAUACCACCACAACUACUACAAAAUAUAACAAAAUUCGACUGAGUGCUUCUACAACAUCAUCAUGUCAACAUGCAAGCAUUACAUCAAUUACCAACCUUUCUACGAAGUGCAUGACACACCAAAUAUUAGACAAGUACUUAAUAAACAUGAGUUCUCCAACUAUACAUUACAUACUAUGAAACUGUCUCUUUGGCUUCAGCAGACUUUUCCCAGUAUCUCAAAAAUCAACGGUCUCCUGAUAGGAAAAACAUGACAAAAAUAUGAGUUUGUAACUCAGUGAGUGGAUGAUUUGCAAAUAAGUAAACUUUUUCUAUUUAUGCAUAUUUUCUAAAAAUUUUAAAUUUAUUAAAUCCUUGAGAAUUUCUGAAUCUAGUAAUACUUUUAAAAACUAAACAUGAUUUUAUUAUAAAAUUCUUUAUUCUAAAUUCUAGAUAAGUAUCUGUG
rnacentral:lncRNA from 1 species